AUGGACACGUUUUGCUCCACACUCCUGCUGCUGACCACCCCUUCCUGGGUCUUGUCCCAGGUCACCUUGAAGGAGUCUGGUCCUGCGCUGGUGAAACCCACAGAGACCCUCACGCUGACCUGCACUCUCUCUGGGUUCUCACUCAGCACUUCUGGAAUGGGUAUGAGCUGGAUCCGUCAGCCCCCAGGGAAGGCCCUGGAGUGGCUUGCUCACAUUUUUUUGAAUGACAAAAAAUCCUACAGCACGUCUCUGAAGAACAGGCUCAUCAUCUCCAAGGACACCUCCAAAAGCCAGGUGGUCCUUACCAUGACCAACAUGGACCCUGUGGACACAGCCACGUAUUACUGUGCAUAUACCCAGGUAAGUAUAAAAUCCAACACUUGGAAAGUAAAAUGCCUCAGCUUGACAUCAGAAACCCAUCUCAGUAAGUCUGAGGAGCAAUGUGGAAAAGAAAUGAAAAAUUCGACAACACUUUUCUUAUGA